rnacentral:rRNA from 1 species
CUUGAGCCGUGGCUUUCGGAGCUAACGCGUUAAGUAGACCGCCUGGGGAGUACGGUCGCAAGAUUAAAACUCAAAUGAAUUGACGGGGGCCCGCACAAGCGGUGGAGCAUGUGGUUUAAUUCGAUGCAACGCGAAGAACCUUACCUACUCUUGACAUCUACAGAACUUAGCAGAGAUGCUUUGGUGCCUUCGGGAACUGUAAGACAGGUGCUGCAUGGCUGUCGUCAGCUCGUGUCGUGAG